UAAAUACAUAAAUACCGCGCGGUUCCCGAUAGCUCGAGGUGCAGAAAAGGGAACUUGAACAGCAUUUCCUAGGGAAAAAAAAAAAAAAAAAAGACAGGACAACACUGUUUAUUUACGGACGUGGGCGGGUUUCUUUUUCUCAGAAGUACUGGGAGACCCCAGCGGGGCUGGGAAAUGCUCCUGCUGAACCGAAUUGGAGUGGAAAUGAAUGUACAUGUGAGCAAUCCACAGAUGAGCUGUGCCUGAACCACACAAGAUGGGCUCUUAUGGAAACACCUAUCAAUUCGAUAGCCAAGGAGGGGUAAUUUCCCAGGGCAAGAAAAGUUUGGUUAACUCUGAGGGAAGCACAAUGGUCCCAAAGCUCUAAAAAGCACAUCGAGUACUGGGGUGACUACAGUUUUGCGUGUACCCUGGGACGCUGGCUAAAACUAAACAGACUCCCCCCCAACAUGGGAGAUUCCGCCAGAAGGAGAACAAAGGUCAAUGCGGUCAUGUGGAAUCUGAUUAACACAAAGCUGCAGAAACACACUCCUGGAUUAAAUGCUUUCCCGAGCCACUCAAGCCUCUUGGACACCAGGAGCUGCUCUUGCUGUGGUAGAAUAUGGGUCCGUUUGCUUCAUUUGCCCAGUAGGAUGGGUUCAGCACCCACAUUUCAAGUCCGGGUUUCCCUACUGUUCUUUAAAAACUGUGUAUAAUUUACGGAUGACGCUAUUGCUUGGAUCUAAAAGGAAAGGGAUUUAAAAAAAAAACCUAGUUUCAUUACAUCGGGCUAAAGAAGAAUAUGUUGCUUUUUUAAACAUCGGGUUUACUGAGGUAUAAUUUACAUGCCUCCUCUUAGUUGUGUGGUUGGGUCACAAAUGCACACAGUUGGGUAUUAGCCACAAUCAAAUUUCCACUCCUUCCCCCCACCCCGAAGUUCCCUGUGUCCCCCGUCACACCCACGAUCUAUACCCCAGCCCCCCACAGCUGUCUUUCUGUUUUCUGUUCUUAUGCCUUUUCUAGAAUGUCAUUUAAAUGGAAUCGUACACUG